rnacentral:rRNA from 1 species
GACAGCAGCAGCCGCGGUAAGACGAACCGUGCGAACGUUAUUCGGAAUCAUUGGGCUUAAAGCGCGUGUAGGCGGAUGGGAACGUCGGUCGCUGAAAUACCCCGGCUCAACCGGGGAACUGGCAUCGAAACGACCCGUCUCGAGGGGCAUAGGGGGAGCUGGAACUUCCGGUGGAGCGGUGAAAUGCGUUGAGAUCGGAAGGAACGCCCGUGGCGAAAGCGAGCUCCUGGAUGUCUUCUGACGCUGAGACGCGAAAGCUAGGGUAGCGAACGGGAUUAGAUACCCCAGUAGUCCCUGUCUCUUAUA